GACGAACGCUGGCGGCGUGCUUAACACAUGCAAGUCGAACGGAAAGGCCCUGCUCUUGUGGGGUGCUCGAGUGGCGAACGGGUGAGUAACACGUGAGUAACCUGCCCUUGACUUUGGGAUAACUUCAGGAAACUGGGGCUAAUACCGGAUAGGAGCUCCUGCUGCAUGGUGGGGGUUGGAAAGUUUCGGCGGUUGGGGAUGGACUCGCGGCUUAUCAGCUUGUUGGUGGGGUAGUGGCUUACCAAGGCUUUGACGGGUAGCCGGCCUGAGAGGGUGACCGGCCACAUUGGGACUGAGAUAGGGCCCAGAGUCCUACGGGAGGCAGUAGUGGGGAAUAUUGCACAAUGGGCGGAAGCCUGAUGCAGCAACGCCGCGUGCGGGAUGACGGCCUUCGGGUUGUAAACCGCUUUCGCCUGUGACGAAGCGUGAGUGACGGUAAUGGGUAAAGAAGCACCGGCUAACUACGUG
rnacentral:rRNA from 1 species